rnacentral:lncRNA from 1 species
ACUCUCCCGCGGAGGAGAGCGUGAUGCCCUGCCUUUAAUCACCCGUGAAGCGGUACAGGGAGAAGCCCGCGGAGGAGAGGCUGCGCGGAAAUCACCCCACCAGGACUACCAGAUGUGACUCACGCUUUUCACCUUUGGAGGGAAGUAACAUUUUGCAGCAGGAUUCCACCCUGGCCUGCCUCCAAGGGACAGAACAGAGAGAGAAUACCCUUCCUGUUCUCGGCAGACAAGGAGCAUGCAAUGCCGCUGGAAGCAAAGGGCCAACAUCAAUAAUGCAUCGGGAUCCACGGCUGACAUUUUUCAGCUAUCUGGGUAAUUGAGCGGUUGUCAAAAUACAGCUCUGAAAGGC